CCUACGGGGGGCAGCAGUAGGGAAUUUUCGUCAAUGGGCGCAAGCCUGAACGAGCGAUGCCGCGUGAGUGAAGAAGGCCUUCGGGUCGUAAAGCCCUGUUGCGGGGGAAAAAAGGCAGCAUCAGGAAAUGGGUGCUGACUGAUGGUGCCCCGCCAGAAAGUCACGGCUAACUACGGGCCAGCAGCCGCGGUAAGACGUAGGAGGCGAGUGUUAACCGGGAUGAUUGGGCGUAAAGGGUGGCCAGGCGGUCCUGCAGGUGUGGAGUGAAACGCAUGAGCUCAACCCACGUAUGGCUUUGGAAACUGGAGGACUGGAGUGCAGGAGAGGGCGGUGGAACGCGAGGUGUAGCGGUAAAAUGCGUAGAUAUAUGGAAGAACACCAGUGGCGAAGGCGGCCGCCUGGCCUGUUGCUGACGCUGAGGCACGAAAGCGUGGGGAGCAAAUAGGAUUAGAUACCCGGGUAGUC
rnacentral:rRNA from 1 species